rnacentral:rRNA from 1 species
UACGGAAGGCAGCAGUGGGGAAUAUUGCACAAUGGGCGAAAGCCUGAUGCAGCUAUGCCGCGUGUAUGAAGAAGGCCUUAGGGUUGUAAAGUACUUUCAUCGGGGAGGAAAAACAAAACUAAUAAUUUUAUUUCUUGACGUUACCCGAAAAAGAAGCACCGGCUAACUCCGUGCCAGCAGCCGCGGUAAUACGGAGGGUGCUAGCGUUAAUCAGAAUUACUGGGCGUAAAGAGCACGUAGGUGGUUUUUUUAAAGUCAGAUGUGAAAUCCCUGGGCUUAACCUAGGAACUGCAUUUUGAAACUGAAAUACUAGAGUAUCGUAGAGGGAGGUAGAAUUCUAGGUGUAGCGGUGAAAUGCGUAGAUAUCUGGAGGAAUACCUGUGGCGAAAAGCGGCCUCCUAAACGAAUACUGACACUGAGGGUGCGAAAAGCGUGGGGAGCAAAACAGGGAUUAGAUACC